rnacentral:rRNA from 1 species
GUAGUCAAUCUACCCUAUGGACGGGAAUAACCUCGGGAAACUGAGAAUAAUGCCCGAUAGAACAUUAUGCCUGGAAUGGUUUAUGUUUCAAAUGAUUUAUCGCCAUAGGAUGGGACUGCGGCCUAUCAGUUUGUUGGUGAGGUAAUGGCCCACCAAGACUAUUACAGGUACGGGCUCUGAGAGGAGUAGCCCGGAGAUGGGUACUGAGACACGGACCCAGGCCCUAUGGGGCGCAGCAGGCGAGAAAACUUUGCAAUGUGCGAAAGCACGACAAGGUUAAUCCGAGUGGUUUCUGCUAAAGAAACCUUUUGUCAGUCCUAGAAACACUAACGAAUAAGGGGUGGGCAAGUUCUGGUGUCAGCCGCCGCGGUAAAACCAGCACCUCAGUGGUCAGGAUGAUUAUUGGGCCUAAAGCAUCCGUAGCCCGUUUUGUAAGUUUUCGGUUAAAUCCAUGCGCUUAACGUAUGGGCUGCCGGGAAUACUGCAUAACUAGGAAGUGGGAGAGGUAGACGGUACUCGGUAGGAAGGGGUAAAAUCCUUUGAUCUAUUGAUGACCACCUGUGGCGAAGGCGGUCUACCAGAACACGUUCGACGGUGAGGGAUGAAAGCUGGGGGAGCAAACCGGAUUAGAUACCCGGGUAGUCCCAGCUGUAAACUAUGCAAACUCAGUGAUGCAUUGGCUUAUGGCCAAUGCAGUGCUGCAGGGAAGCCGUUAAGUUUGCCGCCUGGGAAGUACGUACGCAAGUAUGAAACUUA